rnacentral:lncRNA from 1 species
AUCUCCCCAAGCGAUCACACAUCAUUCCUGACAUAGUCACCUUAUCUCUAUUUAUUGACAAUAUCAUAACAGCCACCCUUAUUAAUCUCCCCCGAUAUUUAACACAAUAGCCUCCCGUAUCACUCCACAUAAUAGCCACUCGUAUCCCUUCGCAUAAUAGCCACACGUACCACUUCCCCCAGACAAUAGCAUAAUAGUCACCUGUAUCACUAGAGAUACAUCAAUAGCCCCCCUUAUCACUCCGCACAACAAUAGUGAGAUGCCACUCUUAUGCUUUGCAUAACAACAAUCAAUCCACACAAAAAAUCUAUAUAUGCUAACAUCACUACAACACGGAAAAUCAACUUGUACCACAAGGGCUCAUAAGCCAAAACCUCUUAACAACAACAAUAUCACCACAAUAAAUAGCUUACGACUUCGUUUCAAAGCGUAUAGGCUGUUGGGCCUCGUGCUAAGCGCAAAUCUUCA